UUGCUUUGCUUCUAGGGGCUUCUUCUGUAACAAACUUUCUAGAGAAUAAGAUCCGACUUCAGCCAAUCAGUGGGAUGUCCUUGAACAAGAGCCAAUGGCUGAAGGUUCAAUUAAGUUGACCUCUCCUUCAGGCGACUUAAAGGGAGACCAGAUGUGCGGCAGCUGGGUGUCAUGGUGCAGAGACCCAACGCUGUACUGAACUACACCAGUGUGUCCUACUCCCCAUAAACCCUGAGGAUCCCUGGCUACACCAGCACAUUAAUCCACACCCAACAUUAACACACAGUGCACACUCUAUAGAGCUUGUAAGUCCGCCCCUUGCGGCGGGACCUCGUGAGAUCGUAAAAUAUGACUGGGUUUCAAUGGAGAGAAAGUAAAUAUUUUCUCCAUUAUGUUGCACCACAUUUUGGGGGAAGAAUGUUUGAAUCAAUCUUUGUCAUUUAUUUCUGUACUCCAUAUCUGUAAUCCCAGCUGUUGUAUUUUAACACGGUAGCUGGGAACCCUCUUUAUAGGGAGCGACUAGAGGGACGAGGCUGGAAGCAAACCUGAGCCUGGAUCUUAACCUUCUUUCUAAACCUAAUGCCGCAAUUUAACCUCAAAUAAAGUGAGGCCUAAAGUAACUUGACUCUCUUGCCUAAACUCGCUUGCAUAAAACCUGAACUUGCUUGGCUAAACUCGCUUGCCUAAU